rnacentral:rRNA from 1 species
GGCGAACGCUAGCGGCGCGCUUAACCCAUGCAAGUCGUGCGGGAAAGGGGGAUUUUCCUCCAAGUACCGCGGCAAACGGGUGAGUAACACGUGAGUAACCUGUCCCCGGGUCUGGGAUAACCAUUCGAAAGGAUGGUUAAUACCGGAUAAAGUCACCAAGCAUAAGCUUGGUGAUGAAAGAGGGCUUCUGCAUAGCAAGCUCUUGCCUGGGGAGGGGCUCGCGGCCCAUCAGCUAGUUGGUGGGGUAAUGGCCCACCAAGGUUAUGACGGGUAGCCGGCCUGAGAGGGUGGUCGGCCACACGGGCACUGAGACACGGGCCCGACUCCUACGGGAGGCAGCAGGGGGGAAUCUUGGGCAAUGGGCGAAAGCCUGACCCAGCGACGCCGCGUGGGGGAAGAAGGCCUUCGGGUCGUAAACCCCUGUUCUGGAGGAAGAACCCUGCUUUAGUGAAUAACUAAAGCAGGCUGACGGUACUCCAGGAGAAAGCCACGGCUAACUGCGUGCCAGCAGCCGCGGUAAUACGCAGGUGGCAAGCGUUGCCCGGAAUCACUGGGCGUAAAGGGUGCGUAGGCGGUUAGGCAAGUCGUAGGUUAAAGCCCGGGGCUCAACCCCGGAAAGGCCUGCGAUACUGCCUAACUUGAGGGCCGGAGAGGCUGGUGGAAUUCCCGGUGUAGGGGUGAAAUCCGUAGAUAUCGGGAGGAACACCGGUGGGGAAGCCGACCAGCUGGACGGUUCCUGACGCUGAGGCACGAAAGCGUGGGGAGCAAACCGGAUUAGAUACCCGGGUAGUCCACGCUGUAAACGAUGGGUGCUAGGUCUGGGGAGGUAAACUCUCUGGGCUGAAGCUAACGCGUUAAGCACCCCGCCUGGGGAGUACGGCCGCAAGGCUGAAACUCAAAGGAAUCGACGG